rfam:Trichobilharzia regenti genome assembly, scaffold: TRE_scaffold0009209
AUCCAGAUGACGAGUCAUAAAUAGGACGAAAUGCGCAUUCUGGAU